rfam:Nannochloropsis gaditana strain B-31 unplaced genomic scaffold NG_scf03, whole genome shotgun sequence.
GGGGAAUUGGCUCAGUUAUGGUAGAGCGCGUCCUUCGCAAGGACGAGGCCCGGGGUUCGAUUCCCCGAUUCUCCA